CGCCAAGGUAUUUCGUGUAUGGUGUACAUGUCUGUCUGCAUGUUUCAUAUAUGACCAUGAUGACUUCAAUUGUAUUUGAUAUAUUGCAUGAUAGUAAGAUGUCUAUGUCUGGCUGUCGGUCAGGGUUCAUAUACUUUUGACCUUAUGUUCCGAAUUAAUUGGCCAAGCAUAACUUUUACAUUUGCCAGUUUCUAAGGCACUG
rnacentral:lncRNA from 1 species